rnacentral:rRNA from 1 species
AACGAACGCUGGCGGCAGGCCUAACACAUGCAAGUCGAGCGGACCUUUCGGGGUCAGCGGCGGACGGGUGAGUAACGCGUGGGAAUAUGCCCUUCUCUACGGAAUAGUCCUGGGAAACUGGGGGUAAUACCGUAUACGCCCUUUGGGGGAAAGAUUUAUCGGGGAAGGAUUAGCCCGCGUUGGAUUAGGUAGUUGGUGGGGUAAUGGCCUACCAAGCCGACGAUCCAUAGCUGGUUUGAGAGGAUGAUCAGCCACACUGGGACUGAGACACGGCCCAGACUCCUACGGGAGGCAGCAGUGGGGAAUCUUAGACAAUGGGGGCAACCCUGAUCUAGCCAUGCCGCGUGAGUGAUGAAGGCCUUAGGGUGGUAAAGCUCUUUCAGCUGGGAAGAUAAUGACGGUACCAGCAGAAGAAGCCCCGGCUAACUCCGU